rnacentral:rRNA from 1 species
GUCGAGAAUAAUUCACAAUGGACGAAAGUCUGAUGGUGCAACGCCGCGUGGAGGAUGAAGGUCUUCGGAUUGUAAACUCCUGUCAUCGGGGAGUAAGACCUGGCGGUAAAUAGCCGACAGGGUUGAUAGUAUCGGAAGAGGAAGGGACGGCUAACUUCGUGCCAGCAGCCGCGGUAAUACGAAGGUCCCAAGCGUUGUUCGGAAUCACUGGGCGUAAAGGGAGCGUAGGCGGCAUGGUAAGUCAGGUGUGAAAUCCCGGGGCUCAACCCCGGAACUGCGCCCGAUACUGCCAUGCUAGAGGGUUGGAGAGGUGACUGGAAUUCUCGGUGUAGCAGUGAAAUGCGUGGAUAUCGAGAGGAACACUCGUGGCGAAGGCGAGUCACUGGACAACAUCUGACGCUGAGGCUCGAAGGCUAGGGGAGCAAAAGGGAUUAGAUACCCGAGUAGUCC